AAGUCGUAACAAGGUUUCCGUAGGUGAACCUGCGGAAGGAUCAUUAACACUCUAUGAUUUCUUUGAUUUAUCCUUUUUGGGGUGGUUUGUUGCGAAUGAUGAUGAUGAUGAGGGAGUCCCUCAUCCUCUUUCCACUUUACUAAACCCUUUCAACAUUCAGACAUUCAAACCAAAAUAUUCGAAACGCUGAACAACUCUUAGCAACGGAUAUCUUGGCUCUC
rnacentral:misc_RNA from 1 species